GGGCUUCGUGGUGCAGUGGUUAGCACACUCAGCUCACAACCGAGAGAGCCCGGGUUCGAUUCCCCGGCGGAGUGGAAAAAUUUGGGCGGCUUUUCCGAUACCCUACGCCCCUGUCCACCCAGCAGUGAAUGGGUACCAGGUAUUAAUCGGGGGUUGUGUCCCGUCUCCUGGGGUCUGUUCCCUUCUCCUAUAAUUCCUUCCCCUUCUGUCUCUCUCCGGCAUAUGACCACAGAUGUUGCACCGACUAAACGAAACUUUCCAACUUUUCUUCUUAAAAAAAAAAGAACCAACUGUUACCUUACACUUAUGACUCAAGACCGUUUACUUACAGCGGUGACUUAUGGGGCACACAACUUCAGUCACUCAAUUUGACCAACUUCUGAUGAAAGACAAAACUUAUUUUUCCCCGCUGCCUCGGACUAAUAUAAUGGUGGCUUAUUGGGUAACGCUGCGUCUUGAUUUCCCAGAGGCAUCAGCUUCCGAGUGUUCCAGGCUGUGGCGGGAUGAGAAGCUCCCAGCCAGCCAACUCGUCUUGCCAUCCACCGCUGAAGGAUUAGCCGUCGCUGUCUGCGUGUGUUGUGCAGCGCCGGAGAAAGACAAGCGUGAUAACCUGGGCGAGGCAGUAGCUGGGCGUCCCCUGAGAGUGGCGUGACAUCCCUCAAAGCGCCCGGCGGGGGAGGAAAACGGAGAACCGAAGUCUAUAUAUAUACCAAGUCAAGUCACUCUGCUUCAAAACCGGUACGCGCAGGAGGCGGUUUUGGGGCGGAGCAGCGGGAUGACGUCACUUGGAGCCAAAAAAAAAUACCCGCCAGUUCAGGGGUGACUAAAGUUGGGGCCGUGUGUGCACUCUGGAUGUGCAUUCUCGCCUCCUUUCACAGCGCGUUCAGGCAAGCCACUGACGAAAAAAAUAUGUCUUUUUAUUGUGCUAUUGCGUGACUGUAAUUCCAAUGCCUACAAACGGCGGUGUGGGGUGUGAGGGAGGGCAUGUUGAA